AUAAAAAGAUAACUCCUUCUCCCCCACCCCCAUCUCUAUCUCUAUUCCCAUGAGAUGUACACCCUCGAUCUCUCUCUCCCUCUCUCCCUAUCUCUCUUUCCCUCUUCUGGCUCUCUUCCCCCCACCAAAUAAAAUUCUUCACUGAGCACUGUCUGCAUGACAUCUCUAUCUCUCCUACCGUGGGGCACCUUGGCUCCACCCGCCAAGGCCUCUCUCAUUACAUUGGUUCCGUGAUUCGGAUAGACACUAUUGGCAGCCCCUCACACGCCAGGAUCCUGGACCCAGUCUACACACAACAGACUCAGGCUCACCUGAUUGCUCACCACCUCAUCCACCAUCUGCAAUCGCAUAAAUUUCAAACAGGUUCCUGCACAAGUCCACCCCUCCUGCCAGACUUGUGCCAAGACCAACCCUCAGGGGUUCUUCAAAUACACUACCAGCCCCUGCACCAGCUCCUAGAAUCCCAACAACCAUCUGAGGACACCAACCAGGGUGAAUAGAGGCAUUUCCACCUCCAGAGGAACAGCAGAUGAGAUGGCUCCUGUACUCCUGAUUUGGUGUGCUGUUCCCCAAGCUCCUGGAACACCACUGCUGAAACCUGCCUUCUCAGCCCCCUCAGGGAACAGAUGUCUGAGGUCUCCAUGAUAAUGCUUCUUCACUCACACCUCCUGACAUGCGUGACCCCGACUCCCAACUCUCCCCCCCACUUCACCCCAAAAUCAGCAGGAAGCAAUCUCGGGAAUUCAGCGCCCUUGUUCCUACACUUGCUAUCCAUAACUCACCUUUUUAUAAUAAUCAAAAUGGAGGACCUGCCCCUUGGGGACCCACCCAGCUUCCUGAUGUCAUCUUUCCUUAAAGCACCCUUAAGAGGAACAAACCCCUCCCUCUCUCUUUCUCCCCUCUCUAGCCAGAGGUAGCAUGCACCUCUCUCUCUCUCUCUCUCUCUCUCUCUCUCUCUCUCUCUCUCUCUCUCUCUCCUUUCUCCUUCCCUCUAUUCCCUCUCCUCUCCCCUCAAACCCCAAAAUAAACUUGCCAUGUGGACGUUA